rnacentral:rRNA from 1 species
UACAGAGGGGGCAAGCGUUGUUCGGAAUUACUGGGCGUAAAGGGCGCGUAGGCGGCCCGCUAAGUCGAACGUGAAAUCCCCGAGCUCAACUCGGGAACUGCGUCCGAUACUGGCGGGCUUGAAUCCGGGAGAGGGAUGCGGAAUUCCAGGUGUAGCGGUGAAAUGCGUAGAUAUCUGGAGGAACACCGGUGGCAAAGGCGGCAUCCUGGACCGGCAUUGACGCUGAGGCGCGAAAGCUAGGGGAGCAAACGGG